UUUCAGGGACUGAGUGCUGGGGUUUUCGGCUGUUUUUUUCUUCGUUUUUGGCUGUGUGCGACGUGUGGAACAGCUGGUUGAAUGCAUAUCAACCAGCUGUUUUCUAUUUUAUUUUUUUGACUCUUUUUUCUUAUUUUUCUCUUUCUUUCUUUUCCUCUCUUUUCUUUUUGUUUUCUUUUCUUCUCUUACCGCCUUCUCUUCUUCUCUUUUCUUUUCUUUUCUUCUUUUUUUCUGCAAUUCUUUUCUUUUUCUGCGAUUUAUGUUCUUCUGUUUCGUUUGAUUCCUUUUCUUCUUUGUAUUUUAUUUUUGUUUUUGUUUUCUUGCUUGUGAUUUUUUCCCUUAUUGAUUUAGGAUUUCUUUACUUUUCUCAGUGCUGUCUCUUCUUCUCCCUUUUUUUUUCCCUGCGAUUCGUGAUUUCUUCCACUGCGUUUGAUUUUUUUUUUUUUCUUUUUCUCGAUUCUCUUUUCUUUGUUUGCGUUUUGGUUUUGUCUCUUUCGUUGAUCGCAAUUUUUUGUUUAUUUGUUUCUUUCUUUUUUUUAUUUUUUUCUUGCGAUUCUAUGAUAUUUGGGUAAAGUGAAGUCGUAUGGUGCUGAGGUAGAAUGAACGAUGGAGUGAUUUUUUUGAUGCUGAUUUGAAAUUUGGAGAGGAAAAGGGAUUGGAAAAGUUUUUAGGAAAAAAAAAAAAAGGACCUGGUAAUAGUUAUUGUUAGGAAGUGAAAUGUUCCUCUGUUUUGAUUUUUUAUUUAAUUUUUUAUGUACUAAAAUGUAAUCACUCAAGAUGUCAAUUUUUUUUUUUUAUUACAUGUGGUCAGUUCUUAUACAUAGCUA